AAGGGAGUUUUUGACCAAUAUGGCAACACCGCCAUAUCCGUCAGCUCUAUCAUCACGGAGACUUGUAAAGCCUGAAAUCCUAAAAGGAUAUCCUGGCUUUAACCAAGUCUCUUGUAGAGCUAUUAUAAAAGGAUUAUAUUUAUUAAUCAAAUAAAAUAAGUCUGAUUUCUUAUUUGUUAUGCUACGACAGUUCCACUGAAUUAUUUGGACUUUGUAAUCCAUUGUGAGAAGUUAAUAAUUGAGAAAAUACAUUGUACAUGGCAUCGUUGGACGGUGGUAAAGUUGAAAGAAGAUUGAAAAUGAGAUUUAUUGGAAGGAGAUGAUGAUGUUAAUACAUCUGAAUAUAGUUUAGAAGUUGGAGGAUGAAAUUUUGAUGCUUCAGCAUAAGAAACACAACUAUGGGCCAUU